AUUUGUACCCUUGAAAGGGCCAGCUGCUAAAACAAGAGAAUGAAUAUAACUAUGACCCACCCAACUUCUCUCUCAUUAAAACCCUCAUUCUCUCUCAUAAAAACUGCCUUCUCUCUCAUAAAAACCUUCCACUCUCAUGUUAAAAAUCAAAUAUCUCGCUGAACUUCACUCAACCCUCGGCUCCAUGCUCGCUGAACUUCACUCAACCCUAAUAUUUGGUACUUCAUUGAAGUAAUAAGGAACCCUAAUUUCAUGCUACACUCGAUUAAAGUCAUUUUCUGGAUCCUCUCUUCUCGAUUGAAGUUGACCCAGCCGUAUCUGAAUUCUCCAUUGAAGCGGACAAGUGGUCCGACAAGACACUCAUCGAAGGAAGGGUGGACAGAGAAAGAGGUGGAACAACCAUCUUGACCCUGUGAUAAAGAAAGAUGCAUUGACAGAGGAGGAAGAAUCACUUCUUACUUGCUAUCACCAGAGAAAGUGGGCAGAAAUAACAUGAUUUCUUCUUGGAAGGAAAACGUAUGGCUAAUGUAGUUGAUUUGAGUCGUUGCUUCUCAUAAAUGUUGUCACUCCAGGAAGAUGUCGCUGCUAUUUUUUUAUUUUUUUUUUUUGUUGGGUAGAUUGGCAGCCUUGUAAUUUUUAUAAAUUUGUAUAUAAUGUAUACAGUAUAACACAAUUUCGUUACAAUAGUAACUUUUAUAAGUAUAUGAUAUA